rnacentral:rRNA from 1 species
GAGGGAAUAUUGGUCAAUGGGCGAAAGCCUGAACCAGCCAAGUAGCGUGCAGGAUGACGGCCCUAUGAGAGUUGUAUAUAUCUGCUUUUGAUAUAGGGUAUAGAACGUGAGGAACGUGUAGCCUUCUCUUGUAUGGACCGUACUAGAAUAAGGACCGGCUAAUUC